CCCUUAGAUGUUCUGGGCAGCACGCGCGCUACAAUGGUCUUCGCAAACGGAUGCAUUCUCGAAGGAGAAUGCCAAUCUUGGAAUCUAUGCCUUGGUCGGGACAGUUGCUUGCAAUUUUUCGACUCGAACCAGGAAUUCCUUGUAAUCGUGAUUCAUCACAUCACGAUGAAUACGUCCCUGCCCUUUGUACACACCGCCCGACGCUCCUACCGAUCGAAGAGUUAGGUGAAUUGUUUUGAUCGAUAAGAUUUGACUAUGGUCAACUCUCGUUGUGAAAUUCUGUGAAUCUGACUGUUUAGAGGAAGGAAAAGUCGUAACA
rnacentral:rRNA from 1 species